AAGGCCUUGUUUUGUGGCUUUUUCAAUGGCGGUGAUUGUGCAGAAGUUUUCAUGUCCUUAUUUUUGACGCUGGGAUAAAAAGUAAUUACGGAAGCCUUCACCAAACCUGAAGACGCAGAGCUAUACAAUGGUUCUUUUGGAUUCGUUUGGGAUAGAGGUUUGAGACGAUGAAAGUGAAAGCUUGAACAGCCACCUUCUUCAGACACAGAGAGUCGCGAGAGUCACUCAUGAGAGUAGACCUUCUCUUGCAAGUGCUGACGAGUUUGUCACAGUGAAAUCAGAGGCAUGCAGACUGGUACUUUAACUGCCGUUACAAACACUAGCGGAGAAUUGAUCUUCAAGAUACAUUCUACACUUACGAGGACAAAAAUAGGUCUUGGAUUUUUUUGGUUGCAUUUAAAUGUAAAGUUACUACUUUCCCCUUUGUUUGAUUUUAUAAUAUUUGACCGUUAAAAUUUUCCCAAUUUGAAAUAUUAUUAUUUUGAAUCAUUCUUUGAGAGCCAUUGAGAAAAAAAAAAUGAACUAAGUGCGAGGACCGAUUGCGAAGUAAUACUCAGCUACCCACGGGUGAUGUCAAUUAGACACUGUAAUAGCUUACCAACCCUCCUACAAACGUUAGCAAACAGCACGCUCACAGCCUGCUAAACCACCCCACGACACAAGACUGUUUAGCGUUCUUGCUUAUACUCUAUUUAAUAUGGCAGUUCAGUUUUUACAUGUUAAGAUAUUUCUGUUGGUAGAUGUUGAAACGGUCGUUUCUUUUUUAUAAAAUAGAAAAAGAUAAAAUCUAAAAUUAUUUUUUUAGAGGUUGUUUUAAGAGCAAGUUAAAUGCCAAUAUUAUUUGGUAACAUUCGUUGCCAGACUAAAUAUAUGAUGUACCACUUUGUGAAAUUAACAUUUUGUUGAAGUUAUGGAUUUCCUACUUAGAAACAAUGAAUGAUAUUGCUAAAUGGAACAUAAUAACGGUGAAGGCCAAUUGGACGAUUAGGUUUUACAUUGAACAAAGUUCCGGAGAUGCCGCCCACAAAGCUCUCUCAACACCUUACACAAGUAUUUCUUUAUUUAUUUAUUUCGCUUUUAAAUUGAGGCUUGAUUAAAACACAAGAAUGUACAAACUUAAACACUUUAGGCAUUGUGGGUUUAUAAGUGUUCUAGUUAUUCAUGAAUUUAAGGAGAUUUAUAUUUGAUAAAACAGGACAGUGAAAUGGAAUAAAGAGCAUUCCGCCC